ACAGAGGUGCCGAGCGUUAGGCGGAAUCACUGGGCUUAAAGCGUGUGUAGGCGGAUCGUUAAGUACCUUGUGAAAUCCCACGGCUCAACCGUGGAACUGCUUGGUAUACUGGUUGUCUUGAGCCACUCAGGGGCGAGCGGAACAAAUGGUGGAGCGGUGAAAUGCGUAGAUAUCAUUUGGAACGCCAAUGGUGAAAACAGCUCGCUGGGGGUGUGCUGACGCUGAGACACGAAAGCCAGGGGAGCGAACGGG
rnacentral:rRNA from 1 species